rnacentral:rRNA from 1 species
AAAUUGAAGAGUUUGAUCAUGGCUCAGAUUGAACGCUGGCGGCAGGCCUAACACAUGCAAGUCGAGCGGUAACACAGAGAGCUUGCUCUCGGGUGACGAGCGGCGGACGGGUGAGUAAUGUCUGGGAAACUGCCUGAUGGAGGGGGAUAACUACUGGAAACGGUAGCUAAUACCGCAUAACGUCGCAAGACCAAAGUGGGGGACCUUCGGGCCUCAUGCCAUCAGAUGUGCCCAGAUGGGAUUAGCUAGUAGGU